GGUCUCACACAGGAUAGGCAAUCACUUUGACCACUGACUGUGUCCCUAGCCAUUUGGUUUUUUUGUUUUGUUUUGUUGUUGUUGUUGGUUUUUUGUUUGUUUGUUUGUUUGUUUGUUUGAGGCAGGGUCUUUUUAAGUUAUCUUUGCUACAGCCUAAUUUGCAGCUUCAACCUACCAAUUUGUGCCCAGGAAUGAGGACCAGGACUGAGGAUGCCCUCUUUCUGCACAAUGCCUGCACAUGCAGAGUCUCUGCAUUUUGACACCCACAAGCUCUGCAGCUUCCCUCUCCUACUGUGACUCAUCAGCAUUCUCCUUUCCAGUGUUUUGGAGUGGGUGUUGAUGGAGGGGAACGUGAAUUUCCAGAUAGCGUCUCAUGCAGCCCAGCCUGGUCUUGAACUCAUUGUGAAGCCAAGGAAGGCCAUGAACUCCUGAUUUCCUCUUCUAUCUUCCAAGUGUGGAGAUUACAGACACACAAACCUUUAAUUACAGAACUUGGGAGACAGAUGCGAGUGGAUCUCUGUGAGUUCAAGGCCAGCUUGGUCUGCAUUGCAAGUUCCCAGGCCAAGUAGGGCUACAUAAUGAGAUCCUGGCAAAUAGAAAAGAAAAGUAAGGAGGAAGAGGAGAAGAAAAAGAAGAAGGAAAAAGAAGAGGAGGAGAUGGAGACGAAGAAGAAGGAGAAGAAGGGGAAGGAAGAGGAAGAGGGGGAAGAGGAGGAGGAGGAGGAGGAGGGGAGGAGGAGGAGGAGGAGGAGGAGGAGGAGAAAGCAAGCAAGAGCAAGCUCCCUCCACUGCUUUGUGUUUUAAAAGAGGAUGACUGUUCAUCCUGGAAACUCACCAGAAAGCGAAUCAUUGUGAAGCAGCUCAUGUCUUCUCCAUAAAAAUAACGCUGCCUGCUGUUGAGGCUGCCUUCUAGAGGAAGAAUUGGCAUGAGAAGCCAGGCGUGACUGUCGAUGGCACAGGAGCAAAGAACUAUAAACCUUUAUCGUCACUUAAUAUAAUAAACGUGUGCUCUGAUACCUUUUCAAAUGCCCAGAAAUGGAGAGCACACCCUGAUUACACAGAAGGCCAUAAAAUGAACAUGCUGCACAUAAAAAAUUAUACCGUUGUAUAAAUUUUUCUGAAGACUGAUGUAUUAUUUAUGACAAGCAUUAAUUAAAAGAUUAAUUGCUAAUGUUCUCUGCCCUUGUAGAAGUUAGCAGAAAAAUUAAAGUAGCUUAAAUAUAUUUGGAGAUAA
rnacentral:lncRNA from 1 species